rnacentral:rRNA from 8 species
AGAGUUUGAUCAUGGCUCAGAUUGAACGCUGGCGGCAGGCCUAACACAUGCAAGUCGAACGGUAACAGGAAGCAGCUUGCUGCUUUGCUGACGAGUGGCGGACGGGUGAGUAAUGUCUGGGAAACUGCCUGAUGGAGGGGGAUAACUACUGGAAACGGUGGCUAAUACCGCAUAACGUCGCAAGACCAAAGAGGGGGACCUUCGGGCCUCUUGCCAUCAGAUGUGCCCAGAUGGGAUUAGCUUGUUGGUGAGGUAACGGCUCACCAAGGCGACGAUCCCUAGCUGGUCUGAGAGGAUGACCAGCCACACUGGAACUGAGACACGGUCCAGACUCCUACGGGAGGCAGCAGUGGGGAAUAUUGCACAAUGGGCGCAAGCCUGAUGCAGCCAUGCCGCGUGUAUGAAGAAGGCCUUCGGGUUGUAAAGUACUUUCAGCGGGGAGGAAGGUGUUGUGGUUAAUAACCACAGCAAUUGACGUUACCCGCAGAAGAAGCACCGGCUAACUCCGUGCCAGCAGCCGCGGUAAUACGGAGGGUGCAAGCGUUAAUCGGAAUUACUGGGCGUAAAGCGCACGCAGGCGGUCUGUCAAGUCGGAUGUGAAAUCCCCGGGCUCAACCUGGGAACUGCAUUCGAAACUGGCAGGCUUGAGUCUUGUAGAGGGGGGUAGAAUUCCAGGUGUAGCGGUGAAAUGCGUAGAGAUCUGGAGGAAUACCGGUGGCGAAGGCGGCCCCCUGGACAAAGACUGACGCUCAGGUGCGAAAGCGUGGGGAGCAAACAGGAUUAGAUACCCUGGUAGUCCACGCCGUAAACGAUGUCUACUUGGAGGUUGUGCCCUUGAGGCGUGGCUUCCGGAGCUAACGCGUUAAGUAGACCGCCUGGGGAGUACGGCCGCAAGGUUAAAACUCAAAUGAAUUGACGGGGGCCCGCACAAGCGGUGGAGCAUGUGGUUUAAUUCGAUGCAACGCGAAGAACCUUACCUGGUCUUGACAUCCACAGAACUUUCCAGAGAUGGAUUGGUGCCUUCGGGAACUGUGAGACAGGUGCUGCAUGGCUGUCGUCAGCUCGUGUUGUGAAAUGUUGGGUUAAGUCCCGCAACGAGCGCAACCCUUAUCCUUUGUUGCCAGCGGUCCGGCCGGGAACUCAAAGGAGACUGCCAGUGAUAAACUGGAGGAAGGUGGGGAUGACGUCAAGUCAUCAUGGCCCUUACGACCAGGGCUACACACGUGCUACAAUGGCGCAUACAAAGAGAAGCGACCUCGCGAGAGCAAGCGGACCUCAUAAAGUGCGUCGUAGUCCGGAUUGGAGUCUGCAACUCGACUCCAUGAAGUCGGAAUCGCUAGUAAUCGUGGAUCAGAAUGCCACGGUGAAUACGUUCCCGGGCCUUGUACACACCGCCCGUCACACCAUGGGAGUGGGUUGCAAAAGAAGUAGGUAGCUUAACCUUCGGGAGGGCGCUUACCACUUUGUGAUUCAUGACUGGGGUGAAGUCGUAACAAGGUAACCGUAGGGGAACCUGCGGUUG